AUUGAACGCUGGUGGCAGGCCUAACACAUGCAAGUCGAGCGGAGCGGCGGACGGGUGAUUAAUGCCUAGGAAUCUGCCUGGUCGUGGGGGAUCACGUCCGGAAACGGGCGCUAAUUCCGCAUACUAUCAAAUGAGCCUAGGUCGGUUUAGCUAGUUGGUGGGGUAAAGGACUACCAGGGCGACGUACCGUAACUGGUCUGAGAGGAUGAUCAGGCACACUGGAACUGAGGCACGGUCCAGACUCCUACGGGAGGCAGCGGUGGGGAAUAUUGGACAAUGGGCGAAAGCCUGAUCCAGCCAUGCCGCGUGUGUGAAGAAGGUCUUCGGAUGGUAAAGCACUUUAAGUUGGGAGGCGUUACCAACAGAAUAAGCACCGGCUAACUUCGUGCCAGCCGCCGCGGUAAUAC
rnacentral:rRNA from 1 species